GAGAGAAGGGGGGUUUAAAUGCGAGCACAUGGUGUGGGAUCGGGGCCGGCUGUCCUCGCUUGGAGCCCUAAUCGCCCUUCACGUGUUCCUCCCCCCCGCCUUCCUCUCGCCUAUUAAUACCUCAUCGUCUCCUGGGGGUGGUUCGCCAGAGAGAGCCCAUCGAAGUGCGCAGGCAGCGGAAGAGGGAAAAGGGCGUCAUGGAGGGAGGAAAGAAGCAGGACGCCGGUGCCCCCGCCAAUUCGUCGUCCUCCUCCUCCACUUCUUCUUCCUCGCCCUCCGGCUUCUUCAGCAGUGUCUUCCCUCCUCCUUCCACGGUGAUGGCUAAGGAUUCAUCGCAGAGUGACUUGUACUGGACCUUGAGCAAGCAAAGGGCGGAUGGUUCGAUCGGGAACGCUCAGGGCGCGGCAACAGAUGGCAAAUCACAGGGAAGUCCAACCAAAAGGCAAACAGCACGGGGCAAGGAUGGUAAACCAGUUGAUCCCGGUCAAUCUGAAGAAUCAGCCUAUUUCGGUUCAUCUGUGCACUAUGGGGGUCGUGAUUUCUAUGUCACUUCUCCAUCCAACCAAGUCUCUGGAGCUCCAAAAAUUUAUAAAGCUGAUGAAGGGGAUGGUUCAGGUGACACAAACAUUGCCAACAGAGGUGAAUGGUGGCAAGGUAUGACAGAGAUUUAUUGCCUAAUGUACCAUGCAUUCAAGAGAAGAGCAAUUCAAUAAUUUUUUUCUCUGUUUAUUUUCUCCUAUUUCUCACUCAGGUUCCCUGUACUAUUGAAGACUAAUUAUGUCAGUGUGCUUUCCAUUAUUAAGGAAGAAGGUUGUUGGGAGAGCUACUGCCAUUCCAGUGAUCGGGUGGCAUCUGGUUUCUUCCUACAGGAGUCCUCUUAAGCAUCAGAGGAAGUCUGGUUUUGAUUUGUUUCUUGGUGUCUAGGUUGGCAGAUUACAAAUAUACUAGUGUCUUUAUAGAAGUAUAUUCUAUAUGUGGUGUUUCUGGCCUUUCACCUCCAGCUUUUAUUGUAGUGAGGUUGUAAGUUUGCUCAGAAAUGUAUCCUUAAUACACAGGAAUAACAUAUAAGCAGGUCUUUUGUUAAAAAGUCAAUUCCUGAUA